rnacentral:ncRNA from 1 species
CUCUUCCGCCUGCUGCGGACAGAUCCAGUGGAUGUGGGUGUCGAUCCCGCCGGCGGUGACAAUCCUCCCUUCGGCGGCGAUCACCUCCGUUGCCGCGCCAAUCGGGAUCGUCACGCCGGGCUGAAUGUCCGGGUUUCCGGCUUUGCCGACGGCGAAGAUCCGCCCAUCUUUUACGCCGAUAUC